GGUCCAGACUCCUACGGGAGGCAGCAGUAGGGAAUCUUCCGCAAUGGGCGAAAGCCUGACGGAGCAACGCCGCGUGAGUGAUGAAGGUCUUCGGAUCGUAAAACUCUGUUAUUAGGGAAGAACAUACAUGUAAGUAACUAUGCACGUCUUGACGGUACCUAAUCAGAAAGCCACGGCUAACUACGUGCCAGCAGCCGCGGUAAUACGUAGGUGGCAAGCGUUAUCCGGAAUUAUUGGGCGUAAAGCGCGCG
rnacentral:rRNA from 1 species